GACGAACGCUGGCGGCGUGCUUAACACAUGCAAGUCGAACGGAAAGGCCCUGCUUUUGUGGGGUGCUCGAGUGGCGAACGGGUGAGUAACACGUGAGUAACCUGCCCUUGACUUUGGGAUAACUUCAGGAAACUGGGGCUAAUACCGGAUAGGAGCUCCUGCUGCAUGGUGGGGGUUGGAAAGUUUCGGCGGUUGGGGAUGGACUCGCGGCUUAUCAGCUUGUUGGUGGGGUAGUGGCUUACCAAGGCUUUGACGGGUAGCCGGCCUGAGAGGGUGACCGGCCACAUUGGGACUGCGAUACGGCGCAGACUCCUACGGGAGGCAGCAGUGGGGAAUAUUGCACAAUGGGAGGAAGCCUGAUGCAGCAACGCCGCGUGUGGGAUGACGGCCUUCGGGUUGUAAACCGCUGUCGCCUGUGACGAAGCGUGAGUGACGGUAAUGGGUAAAGAAGCACCGGCUAACUACGUG
rnacentral:rRNA from 1 species